rnacentral:rRNA from 1 species
AUACGUAGGGGGCGAGCGUUGUCCGGAAUGAUUGGGCGUAAAGGGCGCGUAGGCGGCCCGGUAAGUCUGGAGUGAAAGUCCUGUUUUUAAGAUGGGAAUUGCUUUGGAUGCUGUCGGGCUUGAGUGCAGGAGAGGUAAGUGGAAUUCCCAGUGUAGCGGUGAAAUGCGUAGAGAUUGGGAGGAACACCAGUGGCGAAGGCGACUUACUGGACUGUAACUGACGCUGAGGCGCGAAAGUGUGGGGAGCAAACAGGAUUAGAUACCCUGGUAGUCCACACUGUAAACGAGGAAUGCUAGGUGUAGGGGGUAUCGACCCCUUCUGUGCCGCAGUUAACACAAUAAGCAUUCCGCCUGGGGAGUACGGCCGCAAGGUGGAAACUCAAAUGAAUUGACGGGG